rnacentral:rRNA from 1 species
AUUGAACGCUGGCGGCAGGCCUAACACAUGCAAGUCGAACGAGUGGCGGACGGGUGAGUAAUGUCUGGGUAACUGCCCGAUAGAGGGGGAUAACUACUGGAAACGGUAGCUAAUACCGCAUACUAUCGGAUGUGCCCAUAUGGGAUUCGCUAGUAGGUGGGGUAACGGCUCACCUAGGCGACGAUCCCUAGCGGGUCUGAGAGGAUGACCAGCCACACUGGAACUGAGAAACGGCCCAGACUCCUACGGGAGGCAGCAGUGGGGAAUAUUGCACAAUGGGCGCAAGCCUGAUGCAGCCAUGCCGCGUGUAUGAAGAAGGCCUUAGGGUUGUAAAGUACUUUCAGCGAGGAGGCGUUACCCGCAGAAGAAGCACCGGCUAACUCCGUGCCAGCAGCCGCGGUAAUUC